AUAUCAUGUUGGGAGGGCAUCUUCUAAUAAGUUGCUUGUACCUCUCCCAAGCUUCACAAAGGGAUUUACCAUCUUUUUGUCUAAAGGUUUGAACUUCCACUCUAAGUUU